UACGGCGGGUACAAGCAUUGAUCGGAAUUACUGGGCGUAAAGGGCGCGUAGGCGGUUAUAUAAGACAGAUGUGAAAUCCCCGGGCUCAACCUGGGAACUGCAUUAGUGACUGUAUAGCUAGAGUGCGGCAGAGGGGGAUGGAAUUCCGCGUGUAGCAGUGAAAUGCGUAGAUAUGCGGAGGAACACCGAUGGCGAAGGCAAUCCCCUGGGCCUGCACUGACGCUCAUGCACGAAAGCGUGGGGAGCAAACAAGAUUAGAAACCCCUGUAGU
rnacentral:rRNA from 1 species